UGGGGAAUAUUGCACAAUGGGCGCAAGCCUGAUGCAGCCAUGCCGCGUGUAUGAAGAAGGCCUUCGGGUUGUAAAGUACUUUCAGUCGGGAGGAAGGUGGUAAGGUUAAUAACCUUAUCAAUUGACGUUACCGACAGAAGAAGCACCGGCUAACUCCGUGCCAGCAGCCGCGGUAAUACGGAGGGUGCAAGCGUUAAUCGGAAUUACUGGGCGUAAAGCGCACGCAGGCGGUUGAUUGAGUCAGAUGUGAAAUCCCCGGGCUUAACCCGGGAAUUGCAUCUGAUACUGGUCAGCUAGAGUCUUGUAGAGGGGGGUAGAAUUCCAUGUGUAGCGGUGAAAUGCGUAGAGAUGGGGAGGAAUACCGGUGGCGAAGGCGGCCCCCUGGACAAAGACUGACGCUCAGGUGCGAAAGCGUGGGGAGCAAACAGG
rnacentral:rRNA from 1 species